CGGACGGGUGAGUAACACGUGGAUAACCUACCUAUAAGACUGGGAUAACUUCGGGAAACCGGAGCUAAUACCGGAUAAUAUAUUGAACCGCAUGGUUCAAUAGUGAAAGACGGUUUUGCUGUCACUUAUAGAUGGAUCCGCGCCGCAUUAGCUAGUUGGUAAGGUAACGGCUUACCAAGGCAACGAUGCGUAGCCGACCUGAGAGGGUGAUCGGCCACACUGGAACUGAGACACGAUCCAG
rnacentral:rRNA from 1 species